rnacentral:rRNA from 1 species
UACGUAGGGCGUAAGCGUUGUCCGGAAUUAUUGGGCGUAAAGAGCUCGUAGGCGGCUUGUCACGUCGGAUGUGAAAGCCCGAGGCUUAACCUCGGGUCUGCAUUCGAUACGGGCUAGCUAGAGUGUGGUAGGGGAGAUCGGAAUUCCUGGUGUAGCGGUGAAAUGCGCAGAUAUCAGGAGGAACACCGGUGGCGAAGGCGGAUCUCUGGGCCAUUACUGACGCUGAGGAGCGAAAGCGUGGGGAGCGAACAGG